GAAGGAGAAAGUGGGUUUUAACAUUCCGGUUCCUGUACUUUCUUUGGGACGUUUUUAUCUCAUUCCAUCUCGUCCAGGGGUGUCCAACCUUGGCAACUUUAAGA